GCCGGGAACUCUAACGGGACUGCCACGUAAGGUGAGAGGAAGUGGGGAUGACGUCAAAUCAGCACGGCCCUUAUGUCCAGGGCUACACACGUGUUACAAUGGUCGGUACAAAGGGCAGCUACACCGCGAGGUGAUGCUAAUCUCUAAAGCCGGUCUCAGUUCGGAUUGGAGUCUGCAACUCGACUCCAUGAAGUUGGAAUCGCUAGUAAUCGCGGAUCAGCAUGCCGCGGUGAAUACGUUCCCGGGCCUU
rnacentral:rRNA from 1 species